GGCUUGUAGCUCAGGUGGUUAGAGCGCACCCCUGAUAAGGGUGAGGUCGGUGGUUCAAGUCCACUCCG
rnacentral:tRNA from 1 species